AGUGAACGCUGGCGGCAGGCCUAACACAUGCAAGUCGAGCGGCAGCGCGGGGGCAACCCUGGCGGCGAGCGGCGGACGGGUGAGGAAUGCAUCGGAAUCUACCUCGUUGUGGGGGAUAACCUCGGGAAACCGGGACUAAUACCGCAUACGACCUACGGGUGAAAGUGGGGGACCUUCGGGCCUCACGCGAUGAGAUGAGCCGAUGCCGGAUUAGCUAGUUGGCGGGGUAAAGGCCCACCAAGGCGACGAUCCGUAGCUGGUCUGAGAGGAUGAUCAGCCACACUGGAACUGAGACACGGUCCAGACUCCUACGGGAGGCAGCAGUGGGGAAUAUUGGACAAUGGGCGCAAGCCUGAUCCAGCCAUGCCGCGUGUGUGAAGAAGGCCUUCGGGUUGUAAAGCACUUUGUUGGGGAAGAAACCGGCCGGAUUAAUACUUCGGCUGAAUGACGGUACCCAAAGAAUAAGCACCGGCUAACUUCGUGCCAGCAGCCGCGGUAAGCACG
rnacentral:rRNA from 1 species